UAGGGAAUAUUGGACAAUGGGGGCAACCCUGAUCCAGCCAUGCCGCGUGAGUGAAGAAGGCCCUCGGGUUGUAAAGCUCUUUUGUCCGGAAAGAAAAGCUUCGGGUUAAUACCCCGGGGUUCUGACGGUACCGGAAGAAUAAGCACCGGCUAACUUCGUGCCAGCAGCCGCGGUAAUACGACGGGUGCAAGCGUUACUCGGAAUUACUGGGCGUAAAGCGUGCGUAGGUGGUUGUUUAAGUCUGAUGUGAAAGCCCUGGGCUCAACCUGGGAAUGGCAUUGGGAACUGGGGAGCUAGAGGGCGGUAGAGGGUAGUGGAAUUCCCGGUGUAGCAGUGAAAUGCGUAGAGAUCGGGAGGAACAUCUGUGGCGAAGGCGACUGCCUGGACCAGCACUGACACUGAGGCACGAAAGCGUGGGG
rnacentral:rRNA from 1 species